UUGUGUGGUGAUAUAAUCAGUUAUUAAUGAGUUGAAUUAUUAAAUGUAAAUAAGACAAAAACACAAAGAUUUAAAGCCAUUUUCCCGUUUUCCAAUGUCUUCGAAUAUUCAUACUGUCAAUGACAAUUCAGCAUCGUUUUUUUUUGCUUAUAAAUUCGAAUCUGAGUCACCCUCAUUUCUUGCUUGACCGUCGCGACGAAAUGAACAGUCAACAUUAUAACUUAACCUUUUUCUUCAUCCUGUCAUACGAAACUGUUUUGUGAUACUGGAUUUUUUCGCAGCGGAGUAAGAAAACCUUUUUUUAUUUUCUGACUCAUCUACGCCGUCGGAAUAAGUAAACAAAUCCUUUUGUUGGGUGAAAUCUCACUUGGACUUGAGCACGGAAAGGUAUCGUCGCAGCAGGGUGCAAGCGAGUCAUCCCGGGAAUGAGGUUAGGGCGCAAAUCCGAGGGUAAGAGCAUUUGAGGCGAAAAAAUUUUACGAUUCUCGUAGUUUUAAUAAAACGUCCAGCCUUCAAAGUUUUCAAUUCCAUAAAAUCUCUUAAUCGCCUAUAAGUUUUCGAUACGAAAAGUUUACAGCGAAGGACAUUCCAUUCUCAUAGGUUCGAGAGUGCACGUGUCACAGGGAGAGUGAUGGGGCAUGGGGCUGACGGGAGAGCGCGAUGGAAAGAAAAAUAAAGAGAACAGCCGUUGUUGAUAGAAUAUCGAAAGUCUGAAUCAUAUUUGAGAAGUGCGAUGAGACGAGGGACGUACGUAUGGAAAGAGCAAAAGAGAGAGAGAGAGAGAGAUAAGUGAGGUUUAGCUCGAUGUGUUUGGUAUCAAAGAGAGUGCCAGGUUACAGAAAGAGACGUUGCUGUUGUAGCCUGUCGGUCACCAAGGACAAGGCUGUCCAUUCAUUCAAUCGGGCGAUCGAUCGCUCAUUCAUCUCGUGAUCAACCAUCAUUAUGCCACCACAAUUCCAGCAUCGAAUUUUUCAACAACGACAAAUAUCCCAAUCGCUGUAUUAUGAAAUUUGAAAUGCCAAUAAAAUUGUAGCUUCGUA